rnacentral:lncRNA from 1 species
GUUCAGUUUAGGGUUUAAAACUCUAAUGCUGACUAAAGGAAAAGUUCAGUUUAGUGUUUAAAAACCUAAUGCUGACUGAAUGGAAAAGUUCAGUUUAGGGUUUUAAAACCCUAAUGCUGACUAAAGGAAAAGUUCAGUUUAGGGUUUAAAACACUAAUACUGACUACAUGGAAAAAGUUCAGUUUAGGGUUUAAAACCCUAAUGUUGACUACAUGGAAAUAGUUCAGUUUAGGGUUUAAAACCCUAAUCCUGACUAAAGGAAAGAGUUCAGUUUAGGGUUUAAAACCCAAAUGCUGACUAAAGGAAAAGUUCAGUUUAGGGUUUAAAACCCUAAUACUGACUGAAUGGAAAAGAGUUCAGUUUAGGGUUUAAAACCCUAAUGCUGACUACAUGAAAAUAGUUCAGUUUAGGGUUUAAAACCCUAAUGCUGACUAAAGGAAAGGUUCAGUUUAGGGUUUAAAACCCUAAUGCUGACUAGAGCAAAAGUUCAGUUUAGGGUUUAAAACCCUAAUACUGACUAAAUGGAAAAGAGUUCAGUUUAGGGUUUAAAACCCUAAUGUUGACUAAAGGAAAAGUUCAGUUUAGGGUUUAAAACCCUAAUGCUGACUGAAUGGAAAAGUUCAGUUUAGGGUUUUAAAACCCUAAUGCUGACUAAAGGAAAAGUUCAGUUUAGGGUUUAAAAUACUAAUACUGACUACAUGGAAAAAGUUCAGUUUAGGGUUUAAAACCCUAAUGCUGACUACAUGGAAAUAGUUCAGUUUAGGGUUUAAAACCCUAAUCCUGACUAAAGGAAAAGUUCAGUUUAGGGUUUAAAACCCUAAUGCUAAGUGAAUGGAAAAGUUCAGUUUAGGGUUUUAAAACCCUAAUGCUGACUAAAGGAAAAGUUCAGUUUAGUGUUUAAAACCCUAAUACUGACUGAAUGGAAAAAGUUCAGUUUAGAGUUUAAAACCCUAAUGCUGACUACAUGGAAAAAGUUCAGUUUAGGGUUUAAAACCCUAAUGCUGACUACAUGGAAAAAGUUCAGUUUAGGGUUUAAAACCCUAAUGCUGACUGAAUGAAAAGAGUUCAGUUUAGGGUUUAAAACCCUAAUGCUGACUGAAUGGAAAAGAGUUCAGUUUAGGGUUUAAAACCCUAAUGCUGACUACAUGGAAAAAGUUCAGUUUAGGGUUUAAAACUCUAAUGCUGACUAAAGGAAAAGUUCAGUUUAGGGUUUAAAACUGUAAUGCUGACUGAAUGGAAAAGUUCAGUUUAGGGUUUAAAACCCUAAUAAUGACUAAAUGGAAAAAGUUCAGUUUAGGGUUUAAAACCCUAAUGCUGACUAAAGAGAAAAAGUUCAGUUUAGGGUUUAAAACCCUAAUCCUGACUAAAGGAAAGAGUUCAGUUUAGGGUUUAAAACACUAAUGCUGACUGAAUGGAAAUAGUUCAGUUUAGGGUUUAAAACCCUAAUGCUGACUACAUGGAAAAAGUUCAGUUUAGGGUUUAAAACCCUAAUACUGACUAAAUGGAAAAGAGUUCAGUUUAGAGUUUAAAACCCUAAUGCUGACUACAUGGAAAAAGUUCAGUUUAGGGUUUAAAACCCUAAUGCUGACUAAAGGAAAAGUUCAGUUUAGGGUUUAAAACCCUAAUGCUGACUGAAUGGAAAAGAGUUCAGUUUAGGGUUUAAAACCCUAAUGCUGACUACAUGAAAAUAGUUCAGUUUAGGGUUUAAAACCCUAAUGCUGACCAAAGAAAAAGUUCAGUUUAGGGUUUAAAACCCUAAUGCUGACUAAAGGAAAAAGUUCAGUUUAGGGUUUAAAACCCUAGUGCUGACUAAAGGAAAAGUUCAGUUUAGGGUUUAAAACCCUAAUGCUGACUAAAGAGAAAAAGUUCAGUUUAGGGUUUAAAACCCUAAUGCUGACUAAAGAGAAAAAGUUCAGUUUAGGGUUUGAAACUCUAAUCCUGACUAAAGGAAAGAGUUCAGUUUAGGGUUUAAAACCCUAAUGCUGACUAAAGGAAAAGUUUAGUUUAGGGUUUAAAACCCUAAUGCUGACUAAAGGAAAAAGAUCAGUUUAGGGUUUAAAACCCUAAUGCUGACUGAAUGGAAAAGAGUUCAGUUUAGGGUUUAAAACCCUAAUGCUGACUAAAGGAAAAGUUCAGUUUAGGGUUUAAAACCCUAAUGCUGACUAAAGGAAAAGUUCAGUUUAGGGUUUAAAACCCUAAUGCUGACUGAAUGGAAAAGUUCAGUUUAGGGUUUAAAACCCUAAUGCUGACUAAAUGGAAAAGUUCAUUUUAGGGUUUAAAACCCUAAUGUUGAUUAAAGAGAAAAAGUUCAGUUUAGGGUUUAAAACCCUAAUGCUGACUAAAGGAAAAGUUCAGUUUAGGGUUUAAAACCCUAAUGCUGAUUGAAUGGAAAAGAGUUCAGUUUAGGGUUUAAAACCCUAAUGCUGACUACAUGGAAAAAGUUCAGUUUAGGGUUUAAAACCCUAAUGCUGACUAGAGGAAAAGUUCAGUUUAGGGUUUAAAACCCUAAUGCUGACUAGAGGAAAAGUUCAGUUUAGGGUUUAAAACCCUAAUACUGACUGAAUGGAAAAAAGUUCAGUUUAGGGUUUAAAACCCUAAUGCUGACUGAAUGGAAAAAGUUCAGUUUAGGGUUUAAAACCCUAAUGCUGACUACAUGGAAAAAGUUCAGUUUAGGGUUUAAAAUCCUAAUGCUGACUAAAGGAAAAGUUCAGUUUAGGGUUUAAAACCCUAAUGCUGACUGAAUGGAAAAGUUCAGUUUAGGGUUUAAAACCCUAAUGCUGACUAAAUGGAAAAAGUUCAGUUUAGGGUUUAAAACCCUAAUGCUGACUAAAGAGAAAAAGUUCAGUUUAGGGUUUGAAACUCUAAUCCUGACUAAAGGAAAGAGUUCAGUUUAGGGUUUAAAACCCUAGUGCUGACUAAAGGAAAAGUUCAGUUUAGAGUUUAAAACCCUAAUGCUGACUACAUGGAAAAAGUUCAGUUUAGGGUUUAAAACCCUAAUGCUGACUAAAGGAAAAAGUUUAGUUUAGGGUUUAAAACCCUAAUGCUGACUAAAGGAAAGAGAUCAGUUUAGGGUUUAA